GAUCGGAAGAAUGGCUUCUCUAGGCGAGGUUUUGCUGCCCACUUGAGUCCCUCUCCUGAGUGCCCGGGAACUUGGUGACUCUAAAUGGGUUGCCAUGACCUGUGCAGGAUCACUGCGAUUGCUCUGGGCCAUGGAGAAGGUCACCAGGGAGCCCGAGCAUGUGCCCAGGUGCUUUGGACCACACAGUGGGACACAGAGGAGGUGUGAAGAUGAGAGUCAACGCCCACUGCUUGGCCACUUGCUGGUAUGUUUUGCUUUCCUUGUGCUCCCUGGACAUCUCAAGGCUGCACCCUUCCUGCCCUGCCCUGUACUGGCUUUAGGAAGGAGGGACUCUGAUCAGGGAUUGGUGAGGGAGGCUCCUAGGCCCUCCCUGUUCCUGCUCUGCAGGCUCAAAGGUCAGCUGGAGGAGCAGGGCAUGGAAGGUGCAGCCCCUCACUGAGGAGAUAAGCCUGGUGACUUACUGAGUGCAGGAAAUGACUAAAGAAAUAGAGUUUAUGGUUCCAGGGAGGUGAGGUGGAAAGCUGAGAGCCCAAGUAGGAAGCAGAUGUGAUUUUAAUGUUGUACCUCAUCACCACUGUGGACAUCUGUCAUUAUUCAGAUUGCCCCUCGCUGAGUUUUGAUUUGACCAGAGUGGAACUGUCCCUGGGUCAUCUCCUCCUCCUCU
rnacentral:lncRNA from 1 species